GACGAACGCUGGCGGCGUGCUUAACACAUGCAAGUCGAACGGAAAGGCCCUGCUUUUGUGGGGUGCUCGAGUGGCGAACGGGUGAGUAACACGUGAGUAACCUGCCCUUGACUUUGGGAUAACUUCAGGAAACUGGGGCUAAUACCGGAUAGGAGCUCCUGCUGCAUGGUGGGGGUUGGAAAGUUUCGGCGGUUGGGGAUGGACUCGCGGCUUAUCAGCUUGUUGGUGGGGUAGUGGCUUACCAAGGCUUUGACGGGUAGCCGGCCUGAGCGGGUGACCGGCCACAUUGGGACUGAAAUACGGCCCAGACUCCUACGGGAGGCAGCAGUGGGGAAUAUUGCACAAUGGGCGGAAGCCUGAUGCAGCAACGCCGCGUGCGGGAUGACGGCCUUCGGGUUGUAAACCGCUUUCGCCUGUGACGAAGCGUGAGUGACGGUAAUGGGUAAAGAAGCACCGGCUAACUACGUG
rnacentral:rRNA from 1 species